CAAAAAAGCCGGAAUAGCUCAGUUGGUAGAGCAGAGGACUGAAAAUCCUCGUG
rnacentral:tRNA from 1 species